rnacentral:piRNA from 1 species
UAGAGUUGAAGUCGAUGAUCCUUGACUCCCU